UGGUUCUGGCAUCGAUGAAGAACGCAGCGAAAUGCGAUAGGUAAUGCGAAUUGCAGAAUUCCGUGAGUCAUCGAAUCUUUGAACGCACAUUGCGCCCUCUGGUAUUCCGGAGGGCAUGCCUGUCCGAGCGUCAUUAUCAACCCUCAAGCCCCCGCUUGGCCUUGGGUCCCGUCAGGGCACCCCCCGCUCUGGGGGAGAGGCCUGACCGACCCGAAAGGGAAUGGCGGACCCCGUGGGAACCCCGGAUGCAGCGAGCCCCUGGCACGCGUCGCGGUGGAUCCCCGGGGCUUCGGCCCAACCACCCCAAUCUCCAGUUGACCUCGGAUCAGGUAGGGAUACCCGCUGA
rnacentral:misc_RNA from 1 species